UCCUCUGAUUCCCCCUGCCUGAAGCUUUAAAAAAAAUCACAGCAAAAUAUUUCAGUCAGGGUUUCCUUGUUUCACAGAGGUCAGUGUGAGGUGAGAGGGGGCAAAAUGCAAACAGCACAUAAGCAGUCCUGGGAGUGUCCUGCAAUCCUUCCAACCGCUUAGACGACACACCAGAGCAGAAUGCAAGCAGGUUAGUCCUGCAUUCUUUAUGACCUUUUCAUCUGAGAACAUACUCAGAAGAGGCUCCAUUGUCUCCCUGCUCUUGGUAGGCUCUACCAACACUACCUACAUGCUGCACUGUCAGUAAGUCUUUUGAGUAGCAAUAGCCUUCUUCUUUGUGGAGAUAAACAAAUGUCAACUCUGCAGUGUCCAAGGGUGGAGUAGGAAAAGCCUAACUCAAGGGAAAAUAACCCAAAAGAAACUCAGUUUGGAAAUCGAAGGAAAUAAAACCUAAAACCUGCCCACCUGUGACUAUGACAUUCACAAGCUCUGUAUUCUUGAGAAAAUCUGUGCUGAAAUGGAUAUUUCAGAAGGGAAAGGCCCUUGCACAGAUGUUGAAUGCCAUCGGUUAUUGGAUUACUUGCAGCUGAUGUUGUGCCCUGCUCUAUGGGCAUGAGCUGGCAGACGCUGUCAUCAGGCACAAGCUAGAAGCCCAGGUGAGCAGCAAAAAAAGAAAGAGAUCCCUCAAACUGAGAACAAGCAAGUGUCAGCUCCAGUGUUGCUAAUAAAAUAGACUGUCCACCUCCAGAUUAUGAACAAUCACCCUAUUUUCCUUCUCCACUGCGGGGGCAUGCGGGGAGUCCAGGUACUGGAGGGUAUUUCAUGAGCACGGGGCUGGCACACACCACCAUGGAAAAACAUGUUCAGUGCUGCUGCUGUGUCCGUGACUCGAUGUGCAUC